ensembl:lncRNA
GGCAUGAGUCCAACCAGGGACUUGUUACUAAAGGAAGAAGAGGAGAGUGGGUCUGGGGAGCAGCUCUUCUGACUCACAUUCUGAUGCCAGAGGGAAGCAGAGCUCCUCUGUUGUUUCAGCGGCAGGAGCACUCUCAGGCCUCUGAUCUCACCAAAGUGCCCCAGGUCUUCAUGAAAGAGAAGCUGAAUCUGAUGGAAAAGAAAAAAUAAAAGAUGGAAGUGGACAUUUGGCCUCCCUGCUGUCUCUGCCCUGGUCCUGGGAAGACAUUGGUUUUAAGAAUGGAGGAUGUAGAACACCAUACUCAAAAAUAAGCUCAAAAUGGAUUAAAGAAAGAUGGUUCUGAUGAUCCUAUUUGUUGGGCAGCAAAGGAGACAGACAUGAAAACAGGCUUUUGGUUUCAGACGGGGAGGGAGAGGGUGGGAUGGCUUGAGAGAAUAGUGUUGAAACAUACAUUGUUCAGUUUCUCAGUUGUGUCAAACUCUUUGUGACCCCAUGGACUGCAUCACACCAGGCUUCUCUGUCCUUCACCAUCUCU